rnacentral:misc_RNA from 1 species
AAGUCGUAACAAGGUUUCCGUAGGUGAACCUGCGGAAGGAUCAUUACCGAGUUCAUGCCCUUCGGGGUAGAUCUCCCACCCUUUGUAUACCAUACCUUUGUUGCUUUGGCGGGCCGCCUAGCUACUGGCUUCGGCUGGUAAGUGCCCGCCAGAGAACCCAAAACCCUGAAUUAUUAGUGUCGUCUGAGUAAAAUAUUUAAUAUUUAAAACUUUCAACAACGGAUCUCUUGGCUCUG